rnacentral:rRNA from 1 species
GACGAACGCUGGCGGCGUGCUUAACACAUGCAAGUCGAACGGAAAGGCCCUUCGGGGUACUCGAGUGGCGAACGGGUGAGUAACACGUGGGUGAUCUGCCCUGCACUUUGGGAUAAGCCUGAGAAACUGGGUCUAAUACCGAAUAGGACCACGCGCUUCAUGGUGUGUGGUGGAAAGCUUUUGCGGUGUGGGAUGGGCCCGCGGCCUAUCAGCUUGUUGGUGGGGUAAUGGCCUACCAAGGCGACGACGGGUAGGCGGCCUGAGAGGGUGACCGGCCACACUGGGACUGAGAUACGGCCCAGACUCCUACGGGAGGCAGCAGUGGGGAAUAUUGCACAAUGGGCGCAAGCCUGAUGCAGCGACGCCGCGUGAGGGAUGACGGCCUUCGGGUUGUAAACCUCUUUCACCAGGGACGAAGCGUAAGUGACGGUACCUGGAGAAGAAGCACCGGCCAACUACGUG